CCGCACCACAGACUGACCCGAAGGCAGGGACGGGGGAACCACCACCGGGCACCGCAUGCGGUGCCCUCGGGGUGAAGCCGCGCCAGCGGCCGGGCGAACUCCCGCCCGAACCCGACAGCUCACCUCGUAGGCGACCAGGAGAGGUACA
rnacentral:sRNA from 2 species